rnacentral:rRNA from 1 species
GAAAGAGGUACAGUUUCGUAGGGAACUUGGGAAGGAUCAUU